rnacentral:misc_RNA from 1 species
CGAUCGUCAUUGUCCACCGUACCACUUCCGUCCGCAAUCUGCGAUUUUUUUAUGCAUGCGGAGGAGAUGAAUACCGGAGAGUGAGGGGUCUGAAAGAGAAUNNNNNNNNNUGGCGAAAGGGAGCCCUCCCAGAGAUAGAUACUUGAUCUUAGAGGAUUCACAUGUUCAAUAGUGGAAACUUAAGGAACCGGCUAAGAGUGAUUAAACGG